AUUGAACGCUGGCGGCAGGCCUAACACAUGCAAGUCGAGCGAGCGGCGGACGGGUGAGUAAUGUAUGGGGAUCUGCCCGAUAGAGGGGGAUAACUACUGGAAACGGUGGCUAAUACCGCAUACCAGCGGAUGGCCCCAUAGGGGCUUAGCUAGUAGGUGGGGUAAAGGCUCACCUGGGUGACGAUCUCUCGCCGGUCUGAGAGGAUGCUCGGCCACACUGGGACUGAGACACGGCCCAGAGUCCUGCGGGAGGCAGCAGUGGGGAAUAUGGCACAAUGGGGGCAAGCCUGAUGCAGCCAUGCCGCGUGUAUGAAGAAGGCCUUAGGGUGGUAAAGUACUUUCAGCGGGGAGGCGUUACCCGCAGAAGAAGCACCGGCUAACUCCGUGCCAGCAGCCGCGGUAAUAC
rnacentral:rRNA from 1 species